rnacentral:tRNA from 1 species
GCCCGGGUGGCGAAAUUGGUAGACGCGCACGCUUGAGGGGCGUGUGAGCUUACGCUCAUGCUGGUUCGAGUCCAGUUCCGGGCA